rnacentral:rRNA from 1 species
UAAAAGCCCUGGUACUCUGCUGCCCCUGAAUAGUUUUAAAGGCCGCGGUAUUUUGACCGUGCGAAGGUAGCGUAAUCAUUAGUUUUUUAAUUGGAAUCUUGUAUGAAUGGUUAGACAAAAGAAAGUCUGUCUCUUUAUUAAAAACUGAAUUUAACUUUUAAGUGAAAAGGCUUAAAUACAUUAAAGGGACGAUAAGACCCUAUAAAGCUUAAUAUAAAAUGUUAUUCAAUUGAAUUUAAAAAUAAAAAUUUUAUAAUAUGGUUUAUUUUAUUGGGGCGAUAAAAGUAAAAUGAUUGUUAACUGCUUGAUCUUUGAUACAGUUAUAAUUGGUGUGAAGUGAAUAAAUGAUCCUAUGUAGAGAUUAAAAGUUUAAGUUACUUUAGGGAUAACAGCGUUAUUUUUUUUGAGAGUACAUAUCGAAAAAAGAGUUUGCGACCUCGAUGUUGAAUUAAAAUUUCUUUAUGGAAGCAGAAGCUAUAAAAGUUGGUCUGUUCGACCUUUAAAAUUUUACGUGAUCUGAGUUCAGACCGGGAGGAUUUUUA